rnacentral:rRNA from 1 species
CUAUACUGCAAGUCGAGCGAAUCUGAGGGAGCUUGCUCCCAAAGAUUAGCGGCGGACGGGUGAGUAACACGUGGGCAACCUGCCUGUAAGACUGGGAUAACUCCGGGAAACCGGGGCUAAUACCGGAUAAUAUCUAUUUAUACAUAUAAUUAGAUUGAAAGAUGGUUCUGCUAUCACUUACAGAUGGGCCCGCGGCGCAUUAGCUAGUUGGUGAGGUAACGGCUCACCAAGGCGACGAUGCGUAGCCGACCUGAGAGGGUGAUCGGCCACACUGGGACUGAGACACGGCCCAGACUCCUACGGGAGGCAGCAGUAGGGAAUCUUCCGCAAUGGACGAAAGUCUGACGGAGCAACGCCGCGUGAGUGAUGAAGGUUUUCGGAUCGUAAAACUCUGUUGUUAGGGAAGAACAAGUAUCGGAGUAACUGCCGGUACCUUGACGGUACCUAACCAGAAAGCCACGGCUAACUACGUGCCAGCAGCCGCGGUAAUACGUAGGUGGCAAGCGUUGUCCGGAAUUAUUGGGCGUAAAGCGCGCGCAGGCGGUUCCUUAAGUCUGAUGUGAAAGCCCACGGCUCAACCGUGGAGGGUCAUUGGAAACUGGGGAACUUGAGUGCAGAAGAGGAAAGUGGAAUUCCAAGUGUAGCGGUGAAAUGCGUAGAGAUUUGGAGGAACACCAGUGGCGAAGGCGACUUUCUGGUCUGUAACUGACGCUGAGGCGCGAAAGCGUGGGGAGCAAACAGGAUUAGAUACCCUGGUAGUCCACGCCGUAAACGAUGAGUGCUAAGUGUUAGAGGGUUUCCGCCCUUUAGUGCUGCAGCAAACGCAUUAAGCACUCCGCCUGGGGAGUACGACCGCAAGGUUGAAACUCAAAGGAAUUGACGGGGGCCCGCACAAGCGGUGGAACAUGUGGUU